GUAACUGUAUUGAGUAAAGUAUGCAGAGCAGAGAGCAAGAGAGCAGGGUCUGUUGGUUGUUGUUUUUUCUGUUCACCAGGAGGUUGGAAAGAGCAGAUGUCCGUCUGCACUGUGAGCUGCCAAGUGGGUCCGGAGCGGGGCAGCCACAGACACAAGGGCCCAAAUGGUGUGACAAAAGAUGUGCAGGAAGCCCCUCUCCGCCUGGGUGAGCCACAGAGAGGGUCUCCCCUCUCUGCCAGCCUGCAUGGACACUCACAACAUGAGCCAGAGUGGUGGCAGCAAAGCCAUGUGUUGCCGGCUGGGAUGCAUGGUCAUGAAAUGUAAGUGAAGAGGCCCUGAAAAUGUUCCAAGCACAGGUGUGCAGCAUGGCCUGUACUGAACGGAUGCACUGAACCGUAAACAAUGAUAUAAAUGUCUGGCAAAUAAAAUGGCUAGUUAACAA